rnacentral:lncRNA from 1 species
GGCUGCCAUACUUUUGUAGGAAAGUAGUUCCAUAUAAAAAUGUCAUCUAAUUUUCUUUAACCAAGCAAACUUAAUCCACUUAAUACAUACUGUUGGGUGUAUUUUGAUAUCAAUAAACAGUAGCUUGUACCUCAUUAGCUUAACCUCUACCUUUUUAAAUCUUUUUUUCAGGAUUUUGGGAACUUGGAAAAACAGUAGAUUUUUUGGAAACAUAGACUACUAAUUUGAAGAAUAUUGGACUGGUGAACUUUUCUUGUUGUUUGUAAAUGAUAUUUUAUAAUGUACUCAUCACAAGGAAGAUUUUGAUGUAUAACAUG